UUGGCGCAAAAAGUAAAGUUUGCAGUGUGAGAACUUUUUUGACAUGUUUCGACGGACUCGCUAAUAUUUCCAGCUUCACAGGAGGCAGGAUUUAGUAGAAUGUCUUGUUAGUCAUCCAGAUGAAUUCCAGGAUAAGGUAGCCACAACAAACUCAAGGAAUCAUGUCUCUGUGUGCCGAAAGAUGAUUUGUCCACAUGCUUUAAGAUGACGAGUCCAACAUUAUGAGACUUCCGAGAUACAAACACCCGCUUCAUAUAGGCAUCCAAAACAUGUGAACGGUUGACAGAAAGGUGUACAGAGUCAAGAAUUGAUUUCCUGUGUUCGUGUAUAUAUCAAAGGAAGCAGGU